rnacentral:rRNA from 1 species
UACGGAGGGUGCAAGCGUUAUCCGGAUUCACUGGGUUUAAAGGGUGCGUAGGUGGGUCUGUAAGUCAGUGGUGAAAUCUCCGAGCUUAACUUGGAAACUGCCAUUGAUACUAUAGAUCUUGAAUAUUGUGGAGGUCAGCGGAAUAUGUCAUGUAGCGGUGAAAUGCUUAGAUAUGACAUAGAACACCAAUUGCGAAGGCAGCUGGCUACACAUAUAUUGACACUGAGGCACGAAAGCGUGGGGAGCGAACAGG